CCCCCCUUCUCCCUUCUCUCUUCUCUAAUUCUAUUCUCUCUCCUACGCUUCCGCCUCCAUGUUCAUUAAUAUCAUCACUCAUCAUCUUUCUCUCUGAAAGAUGGGCAUAGGAUCGAAUGAAUGAAAAGUGGCGACUUCUAAUGUCUCAGUUUGCAGGGAUUGAUUGAUUGUCUCUUAAUUGUUGUCUUCGUCUAUGGACAAUGAUGAUCCAACUCUACUUGGUUUUAAGCUUCUCAAAAGUUUUUGCAGAUACUUGAGUAAGAGGAUCAACAGUCCAAACAGGUGUAAAACAAAUAUGUACAGCUUCUCUAUAUUCAUUACCACAAGACUUAUACCCCUUCCUUCUGGAAUGUUUAUCAGUUGCCAACCUGUAAAAAACAUCCAUCAUAAGAAACAAGAACAACAACAAGACAUGAGUUAUGUUAUGUGUUCAUCGAUUUAUCUAACCGGAUGUUUCUUGGGUCAAGUUUGUCCAGUCGUAUGGACUUAAAUUCUUUUCAGAUGCUUUGAUCAAUUCUAUAAGUGCUUGAUUCACCUAAUUAAACAU